rnacentral:rRNA from 1 species
UACAGGGGGUGCAAACGUUGCUCGGAAUCAUUGGGCGUAAAGGGUGCGUAGGCGGCGGGGCAAGUCUGAUGUGAAAUCCUGGGGCUCAACCCCAGAACUGCAUUGGAUACUGCUUUGCUAGAGUACUGGAGAGGGAACUGGAAUUUACGGUGUAGCAGUGAAAUGCGUAGAGAUCGUAAGGAAGGCCAGUGGCGAAGGCGAGUUCCUGGACAGUGACUGACGCUGAGGCACGAAGGCCAGGGGAGCAAACGGG